AUGCUCUCCUCUGGAUCCACUCCUGCCCACGCUCAGGGACCCUGCUCCCUCGUGCCCUCCUGUACCUGCAGAGCACUUACAGAAAGUCGCAGAGUACCGGAUCUGGCCCGACGGUCUCCUUCCGACGCACUCACACAACUUCUGCCGCUCGGAAUUCUUGCGGCCGCGGUUCUAAAGCCAGCGCUCCCGCCCCUUCUGCCAGGCCCUCCGCCCCUCGGCCGCCGCCAUUGGCUCGGAGCUUUCACUUUUCGUGCUACCGCGACUAAGAUAGAAGCACUGCUGGAGUCGCGGUCCGGACUUCGGGCCGGGAGUCCGGCCCCCGGGCAGUUUUACCGCAUUCCGCCCACUCCCGGUUCCUCUGUGGACCCGGCGUCCGCGCUCUACGGGGGUCCGAUUACGUGCACCCACAGCCCCAUGGUGACCGGGACCUCUGUCCUGGGUCUCAAGUUUGAGGGUGGAGUGGUGAUCGCCGCAGACAUGCUGGGCUCCUACAGCUCCUUGGCUCGUUUCCGCAACAUCUCUCGCAUUAUGCGAGUCAACAACAGCACCAUGCUGGGUGCUUCCGGAGACUAUGCUGAUUUCCAGUAUUUGAAGCAAGUUCUCGGGCAAAUGGUGAUUGAUGAGGAGCUGUUGGGAGACGGACACAGCUAUAGUCCUAAAGCUAUUCAUUCAUGGCUGACCAGGGCCAUGUAUAGUCGACGCUCCAAGAUGAACCCCCUGUGGAACACCAUGGUCGUUGGAGGUUAUGCUGAUGGAGAGAGCUUCCUGGGUUAUGUGGACAUGCUCGGUGUAGCCUAUGAAGCCCCUUCCCUGGCCACUGGUUAUGGUGCCUACCUGGCUCAGCCUCUGCUGCGAGAAGUUCUGGAGAAGCAGCCAGUGCUGAGCCAGACGGAGGCCCGAGAACUAGUGGAACGCUGCAUGCGAGUGCUGUACUAUCAAGAUGCCCGUUCUUAUAACCGGUUUCAAAUCGCUACUGUAACUGAAAAAGGUGUUGAAAUAGAGGGACCCCUGUCUGCGGAGACCAACUGGGAUAUUGCCCACAUGAUCAGUGGCUUUGAAUGAAAUACAGAUGCAUUAUCCAGAACUGAAGUUGUACCCUUCUUCUAACUUUGAACUUGGCUGGUUCAAAGGUACUAUUCUUUUGUAAAAUAAAUAAAUUCU